UUAUUACUUCAAUUGUGUGCACUAUCCAUUACCUACUGAGUAUUGUAAGAAAGUAAUUACCAUAGUAAUAAAUAUACUUAUAAAUGAUGAUUGUCGUGUGGGAAAUCUAAGGGUCCUCCCUAAUGCUGUAAAAAUCAUAUUUUACUAAAUCCUCACUCUGUAUACCUGAAUAUCUUCUGCAGGUAUUCAACUUGUUUUUAGAUACCUACUAAAGGUAGUAUUUCCCUAUCAUGUCUAUUUGAAGUCUAUCAAAUCAUUUGUGUCAUCCAUAAAAAUUUCAAAUUUUCAGUAAAGAAUUACCAUUUUUCACAACUCCGCUACCAUAUUAACAAAACAAUGUAUGUCACUGGAAUAAAAUAACCAAAGCAUGCCCCUAUCAGCUUUUGAGUCCAUGGUCGUCACAUUUGCUAUAGUGGGUGGUGUCCAUUUGCUCGUUACCCUCCUCACAGCAUUGGAAAAUGACGAGAUGGACCAUCGAAUAUUUAUGAAGGACCUGGCGAAAUAUAAGUUUUUACAUGAGAAUAAGAUUAUUUUAAACCCGAAUGUGCCAUUUUUUCAUUAAUGGAUGUUACGACAAUAAAGUGUUAAAUGUA